UACGUAGGGGGCAAGCGUUGUCCGGAUUUAUUGGGCGUAAAGAGCGUGUAGGCGGCCAGGUAGGUCUGCUGUGAAAACUCGAGGCUUAACCUCGAGCUGUCGGCGGAAACCAUCUGGCUAGAGUCCGGAAGAGGAGAAUGGAAUUCCCGGUGUAGCGGUGAAAUGCGCAGAUAUCGGGAAGAACACCCGUGGCGAAGACGGCUCACUGGACCGGAACUGACGCUGAGGAGCGAAAGCAUGGGGAGCGAACAGG
rnacentral:rRNA from 1 species